UACGUAGGGUGCGAGCGUUGUCCGGAAUUAUUGGGCGUAAAGGGCUCGUAGGCGGUUUGUCGCGUCGGGAGUGAAAACCCAGGGCUUAACCCUGGGCUGGCUUCCGAUACGGGCAGACUAGAGGUAUGCAGGGGAGAACGGAAUUCCUGGUGUAGCGGUGAAAUGCGCAGAUAUCAGGAGGAACACCGGUGGCGAAGGCGGCUUGCUGGGCCAGUUCUGACGCUGAGGAGCGAAAGCGUGGGGAGCGAACAGG
rnacentral:rRNA from 1 species